CCUACGGGGGACAGCAGUGAGGAAUAUUGGUCAAUGGGAGAGAUCCUGAACCAGCCAAGCCGCGUGAGGGAAGACGGCCCUAUGGGUUGUAAACAUCUUUUGUCGGGGAACAAAACCCGGGACGAGUCCCGGACUGCGUGUACCCGAAGAAAAAGCAUCGGCUAACUCCGUGCCAGCAGCCGCGGUAAUACGGAGGAUGCGAGCGGUGUCCGGAUUUAUUGGGUUAAAAGGGUGAGUAGGCGGUCAGUUAAGUCAGCGGUAAAAUUGCGGGGCUAAACCCCGUCGAGCCGUUGAAACUGGCAGACUUGAGUUGUCUAGAGGUACGCGGAAUGCGCGGUGUAGCGGUGAAAUGCAUAGAUAUCGCGCAGAACUCCGAUUGCGAAGGCAGCGUACCGGCGCCAGACUGACGCUGAGGCACGAAAGCGUGGGGAUCGAACAGGAUUAGAUACCCCAGUAGUC
rnacentral:rRNA from 1 species